rnacentral:rRNA from 1 species
AGAGUUUGAUCAUGGCUCAGGAUGAACGCUGGCGGUAUGCGUAACACAUGCAAGUCGAACGAAGUUUUUCGGAACUUAGUGGCGGACGGGUGAGUAACGCGUGAGAAUCUGCCUUAAGGAUUGGGACAACAGUGGGAAACCGCUGCUAAUACCAAAUAUGCCUUUUAGUGAAACGGGUAAAACCGCCUUAAGAUGAGCUCGCGUCUGAUUAGCUAGUUGGUGUGGUAAGAGCGCACCAAGGCAACGAUCAGUAGCUGGUCUGAGAGGACGACCAGCCACACUGGGACUGAGACACGGCCCAGACUCCUACGGGAGGCAGCAGUGAGGAAUUUUCCGCAAUGGGCGAAAGCCUGACGGAGCAAUACCGCGUGAGGGAGGAAGGUUCUUGGAUUGUAAACCUCUUUUCUCAGAGAAGAAUAAUGACGGUAUCUGAGGAAUAAGCAUCGGCUAACUCCGUGCCAGCAGCCGCGGUAAUACGGAGGAUGCAAGCGUUAUCCGGAAUGAUUGGGCGUAAAGGGUCUGUAGGUGGUUGUUCAAGUCUGCUGUUAAAGCGUCUGGCUUAACCAGAUAAAGGCGGUGGAAACUGAACGACUAGAGUGCGGUAGGGGUAGAGGGAAUUCCCAGUGUAGCGGUGAAAUGCGUAGAUCUUGGGAAGAACACCUGUGGCGAAAGCGCUCUACUGGACCGCGACUGACACUCAUGGACGAAAGCUAGGGGAGCGAAUGGGAUUAGAUACCCCCGUAGUCC